rnacentral:sRNA from 1 species
UCUCAUCGCAGCGAUUCAUCCUCCUCCCGGAAAGCUGCGAUCGAUCAGCGGUUACCUCCUCCCAACCGUGGAUCAUUUUCUGAAAGCCUGCCGCACCUCCUCCCGCGGCAGGCUUUUUUC